GACGAACGCUGGCGGCGUGCCUAAUACAUGCAAGUCGAACGGUCUUUUCUAUGGAAGCUUGCUUCCACUGAGAAGAUAGUGGCGAACGGGUGAGUAACACGUGGGUAACCUGCCCAUAAGAGGGGGAUAACAUCCGGAAACGGGUGCUAAUACCGCAUAGUUUUCUUGAUCGCAUGAUUGAGAAAGGAAAGACGGCCUUUGUGCUGUCGCUUAUGGAUGGACCCGCGGCGUAUUAGUUAGUUGGUGAGGUAACGGCUCACCAAGACGAUGAUACGUAGCCGACCUGAGAGGGUGAUCGGCCACAUUGGGACUGAGACACGGCCCAAACUCCUACGGGAGGCAGCAGUAGGGAAUCUUCCGCAAAUGGACGAAAGUCUGACGGAGCAACGCCGCGUGAGUGAAGAAGGUUUUCGGAUCGUAAAACUCUGUUGUCAGAGAAGAACAAGUUGGAGAGUAACUGCUCCAGCCUUGACGGUAUCUGACCAGAAAGCCACGGCUAACUACGUCG
rnacentral:rRNA from 1 species